CUGAGACUCAGGAUGAAAUGAUUGAACUGCUGGCUGUGGUAUGUGCAGGUAACAUUUAUGCUCCCAUCUGCAAGCUGUCGUGCAGACUUGGAGGGGAAGCCACCCAAGGCACAGAGCAGGGCAUCUGUAUUCUUCAUCCAUAUGAAGAAGCGAGGAAGUGUGAAGGUUAAUUUUCUUGAGCAGCCAUGCCAACGUUGUGCAGGCAUCACAGAGGGUUUGAGGAUUUAA
rnacentral:lncRNA from 1 species